UUGGAGGGCAAGUCUGGUGCCAGCAGCCGCGGUAAUUCCAGCUCCAAUAGCGUAUAUUAAAGUUGUUGCAGUUAAAAAGCUCGUAGUUGAAUUUCGGGAUCAGAGUGUCGGUCGUGCCUCGGUACGCACUGGUAUUAUUGGUUCCUACCUUCUGAAGAACCGCGAUGUCAUUAAUUUGGUGUCGUGGGGAAUCAGGACUGUUACUUUGAAAAAAUUAGAGUGUUUAAAGCAGGCUAACGCUUGAAUACAUUAGCAUGGAAUAAUGAAAUAGGACGUUUGAUUCUAUUUUGUUGGUUUCUAGGAUUGACGUAAUGAUUAAUAGGGAUAGUUGGGGGCAUUAGUAUUCAAUUGUCAGAGGUGAAAUUCUUGGAUUUAUUGAAGACUAACUACUGCGAAAGCAUUUGCCAAGGAUGUUUUCAUUAAUCAAGAACGAAAGUUAGGGGAUCGAAGACGAUCAGAUACCGUCGUAGUCCUAACCAUAAACUAUGCCGACUAGGGAUCGGAUGAUGUUAAUUUUUUAAUGACUCAUUCGGCGCCUUACGGGAAAC
rnacentral:rRNA from 1 species